UCAUGGGCUCCAAGUUAUUUAAUUGGGCCUCAAGUCAUUAGGUCUAUAUAUAGUUCUUUACGACUUAGGGUUAAUUAUCUGGGGAUCAUUGUUUAGGGACAGCAAUAGCUGUAGGGCAGAGAUAUUUUUCUCUGAGGGCCUCGCAGGAGGAGUUUAUAUAUCGUAUUUUUUAUUUUCUUUCUUAUUUCUUCAUCUUCAUACGCCUUUACUCUAUCAAAUUGGUCCGACCUGCCGGAUCAGAGACGAUGGUGGCAACUACCAGGGAGUACCGAACAGCGACUGGACGGAUUAGAGAAGGCGGUUGAAGAACUGAUUACAGCGGUGGAUGGGUUUCGUGCGUAUCAAGUUUCAACGGACUCGAAACUUGACGCGCUGUUGAAGAAGUUUAAUAUUUCACCUCCUGGCACCGGCGAUGAAUCAGAGGGAAGCCGUGACUCCGAAUCGGAGACCGAAACGCCCACUCCUCUUCAGGUUUUUCAAAAGAUGGAUCUUCCCAAUUUUGACGGGACAGAUGCACUUGCAUGGCUCGCACGUGCUGACCAAUAUUUUCUCGUGCAUGAGACACCAAGGGACAAGAGAUUGAAGACAGCCCUAAUCGCUAUGUCAGGCCCGGCCAUGGCGUGGUGCAACAUUGCUGCGACGCUGUCCGACGCUAACCUGGACUCGAUUCAGCCAUGAACUUCUGAAUCGGUUUGAACAUAUUAAUGCUGCAAUUAAUGGGUACGAGGCGCUGGGGGCGACAAAACAGGAAGGGUCUUUGGAGGAUUACAUCGCUGCAUUCGAAGGGCGUGCGGUGCAACUUCCUGAUUUCACGGAUGAGCAAUACCUUGGUUUUUUCUUGAGUGGGCUCAAACCACACAUUCGCAAACAAAUCCAAGACCCUACGAUCACGGAUUACUCGGCAGCAGUUUUGAUGGCUCGAAAGGUCGAGCAGGAACCACCGCCAGUUACCACAGCAAGUUACUCUACCAGGCCAAUGUUCAUUCGACCUUCUUCCCCGGUCAGACCUCACAGCGCCCCACCAGCGACGAACAUAUCGUCGGUUGUCUCCCACACGUCGUCCGCUUCCCCGGCUGCAUCCCUCACUCCGUCUGCCCCUCCCCGCAAUUUUCGCAACAUCUCCACUGUGGAGUACAUGAAACACCGUGCAGCUGGCACUUGUUUUCGCUGCGGCCUGAAAUUUGGGCCAUUGCAUCGCUGCCCACCUAAAACACUACAGGUUUUAAUCGGUGACAUGGAAGAUGACCCAGGCAGGGACCUAGAGAAUUCUGAGGAUACCGGGUUGAAGGAGGAAGUCCCAUGGGGCCAUGUGAAUCAGCAACCGCCUUGAGGACAAGGCUGUUUCAACAGGCGGGCAAUUGAUUGCGUUAGAUCAGCUGCAGUCUGCAGAUUUAGGAUUAUCUUUAUUUUAUUAGUUUUUGUUAGUUUCAUAGUUAUCUUUUAUUUUUCGCAGUAGUUCAAUUAUUUAGGGUUAAGUUAUUUAGGUCAGACUCAUGGACUCCAAGUUAUUUAAUUGGGUCUCAAGUCAUUAGGUCUAUAUAUAGUUCUUUACGACUUAGGGUUAAUUAUCUUGGGAUCAUUGUUUAGGGACAACAAUAGCUGUAGGGCAGAGAUAUUUUUCUCUGAGGGCCUCGCAGGAGGAGUUUAUAUAUCGUAUUUUUAUUUUCUUUCUUAUUUCUUCAUCAUACGCCUUUACUAUAUCAAAAUCUUGUGCGACCUGCCGGAUCAGAGACGAUGGUGGCAACUACCAGGAGUACCGAACAACGACUGGACCGAUUAGAGAAGGCGGUUGAAGAACUGAUUACAGCGGUGGAUGGGUUUCGUGCGUAUCAAGUUUCAACGGACUCGAAACUUGACGCGCUGUUGAAGAAGUUUAAUAUUUCACCUACUGGCACCGGCGAUGAAUCAGAGGGAAGCCGUGACUCCGAAUCGGAGACCGAAACGCCCACUCCUCUUCAGGUUUUUCAAAAGAUGGAUCUUCCCAAUUUUGACGGGACAGAUGCACUUGCAUGGCUCGCACGUGCUGACCAAUAUUUUCUCGUGCAUGAGACACCAAGGGACAAGAGAUUGAAGACAGCCCUAAUCGCUAUGUCAGGCCCGGCCAUGGCGUGGGUGCAACUGUUGCUGCGACGCUGUCCGACGCUAACCUGGACUCGAUUCAGCCGUGAACUUCUGAAUCGGUUUGGACAUAAUGCUGCAAUUAAUGGGUACGAGGCGCUGGGGGCGACGAAAACAGGAAGGGUCUUUGGAGGAUUACAUCGCUGCAUUCGAAGGGCGUGCGGCGCAACUUCCUGAUUUCACGGAUGAGCAGUACCUUGGUUUCUUCUUGAGUGGGCUCAAACCACACAUUCGCAAACAAAUCCAAGACCCUACGGUCACGGAUUACUCGGCAGCAGUUUUGAUGGCUCGAAAGGUUGAGCAGGAACCACCGCCAGUUACCACAGCAAAUUACUCUACCAGGCCAGUGUUCAUUCGACAUUCUUCCCCGGUCAGACCUCACAGCGCCCCACCAGCGACGAACACAUCGUCGGUUGUCUCCCACACGUCGUCCGCUUCCCCGGCUGCCUCACUCACUUCGUCUGCCCCUCCCCGCAAUUUUCGCAACAUCUCCAAUGAGGAGUACAUGAAACACCGUGCAGCUGGCACUUGUUUUCGCUGCGGCCUGAAAUAUGGGCCAUUGCAUCGCUGCCCACCUAAAACACUACAGGUUUUAAUCGGUGACAUGGAAGAUGACCCGGGCAGGGACCUAGAGAAUUAUGAGGAUACCGGGCUGAAGGAGGAAGUCCCAUGGGACCAUGUGAAUCAGCAACCGCCUUGAGGACAAGGCUGUUUCGACAGGCGGGCAAUUGAUAGCGUUAGAUCAGCUGCAGUCUGCAGAUUUAGGAUUAUCUUUAUUAUAUUAGUUUUUGUUAGUUUCAUAGUUAUCUUUUAUUUUUCGCAGUAGUUCAAUUAUUUAGGGUUAAGUUAUUUAGGUCAGACUCAUGGGCUCCAAGUUAUUUAAUUGGGCCUCAAGUCAUUAGGUCUAUAUAUAGUUCUUUACGACUUAGGGUUAAUUAUCUUGGGAUCAUUGUUUAGGGACAGCAAUAGCUGUAGGGCAGAGAUAUUUUUCUCUGAGGGCCUCGCAGGAGGAGUUUUAUAUAUCGUAUUUUUAUUUUCUUUCUUAUUUCUUCAUCUUCAUACGCCUUUACUCUAUC
rnacentral:lncRNA from 1 species